rnacentral:rRNA from 1 species
GAUGAACGCUGGCGGCGUGCCUAAUACAUGCAAGUCGAGCUAACGGACGAGAAGUUUCCUUGUCUGAUGUUAGCGACGGACGGGUGAGUAACACGUGGAUAACCUACCUAUAAGACUGGGCUAACUUCGGGAAACCGGAGCUAAUACCGGUAAAUAUUUUGAACCGCAUGGAUCAAAAGUAAAAGUCGGCCUUGCUGUCAAUUAUAGAUGGAUCCGCGCUGCAUUAACUAGUUGGUAAGGUAACGGCUUACCAAGGCUACGAUGCCUAGCCGACCUGAGAGGGUGAUCGGCCACACUGGAACUGAGACACGGUCCAGACUCCUACGGGAGGCAGCAGUAGGGAAUCUGCCGCAAUGGGCGAAAGCCUGACGGAGCAACGCCGCGUGAGUGAUGAAGGUCUUCGGAUCGUAAAACUCUGUUAUUAGGGAAGAACAUAUGUGUAAGUAACUGUGCACAUCUUGACGGUACCUAAUCAGAAAGCCACGGCUAACUACGUG